rnacentral:rRNA from 1 species
UACAUAGGUCUCAAGCGUUGUUCGGAUUCAUUGGGCGUAAAGGGUGCGUAGGCGGCGCGGUAAGUCGGGUGUGAAAUCUUGGAGCUUAACUCCGAGACUGCAUUCGAUACUGCCGUGCUUGAGGACUGGAGAGGAGACUGGAAUUUACGGUGUAGCGGUGAAAUGCGUAGAUAUCGUAAGGAAGACCAGUGGCGAAGGCGGGUCUCUGGACAGUUCCUGACACUGAGGCACGAAGGCCAGGGGAGCAAACGGG